rnacentral:rRNA from 1 species
UACAGAGGUGGCAAGCGUUGCUCGGUAUCACUGGGCUUAAAGGGCGCGUAGGCGGUGCGGUACGGUUUCGGUGAAAUCCCUCGGCCCAACCGAGGAACAGCCGGGGCUACGGCCGCGCUAGACGGCAUCAGGGGACAGUGGAACUUCCGGUGGAGCGGUGAAAUGCGUAGAUAUCGGAAGGAACGCCGGUGGCGAAAGCGACUGUCUGGGGUGCCUGUGACGCUGAGGCGCGAAAGCCAGGGGAUUAAACGGG